AUCCCACCCAAACUGCCACCACUGUAGUCCUGGCCCUUUUAACUUUGUGGCUAGACUUGGAUAAUAGCUUACUGAUCAUCUACUGUGUGCCAGGUACUAUUCUGAGGAUAUUUGUUUUUGUGUGGUCUCUAGGUCAUAUCCGACUCUUUACCACCACAUGGAUGGCAACUCCUCUGUCCUGGGGAUACAGUGAAGAGCAAACAGAGGACCUGUUUUCCAUUGAGGCUAAAUUCUUGCAACAGAAACCAAAGAUAAAGUUUAGAAGUAAAGACUUGUGCUUAGAAAAUUGUUAGCUAUUCAGAAAAGUCAAAAGAAGAGUACAGUGACCACCUAUAUACCACCUACCUAGGUUCAGAUUAAUCUAAAGCAUUAUUUUUGUCCUGUCCUCCCCUUAGGCACUGAAGUCCAAUGACUCUUCUAGUAUUUCUUUAAAGUUCAGUCUUCCUCAAUGUUUGCUUUAGGAGCUGACCAUCCUUUGAGCCCUGCCAUGUGACAGGCCUGAUUUUUACAGCCGUAAGACCAGCCUUCUUGAAAGCUACAGGAAUGAUCUUCAUAUAUGGAAUAUGUUUCCUAUCAGAGAAAUGUUGAACGAAUUUUCUACAGAGGGUUGUGGGAUCUACUGUAAACUUUUGAAGGAAAGACUUCUCUCCUUUUGGGACAUAUCUAAAGAAGAGAGCUGAGGAUGCAAAGAACCUAAGAAACUACAAUGAGAGAAGAGCUCCCCAGAUGCCCCAUUCUUGGUGGAAUAGCUGGAGCUGGAGGAAGCUGGUACAAAAGUAUGUAAGAAGAACAGGGUUGAGUUUUUUAACACAUUUUAAAAGUCUGAGAAAAGGCCAGUGUGGUGAUUCAAAAACCCUGAGAUCUCCAUACACAAAGACAAUUUGCUCUCACCCAUCAGAGUGAGACUGUUUAAAAUAUCCAACUCUUCAAGAUAAAGAGUAUUUAUAGAUGGAAGAGGGA